rnacentral:rRNA from 1 species
GAACGCUGGCGGCAGGCCUAACACAUGCAAGUCGGACGGUAGCACAGAGAGCUUGCUCUCGGGUGACGAGUGGCGGACGGGUGAGUAAUGUCUGGGGAUCUGCCCGAUAGAGGGGGAUAACCACUGGAAACGGUGGCUAAUACCGCAUAACGUCGCAAGACCAAAGAGGGGGACCUUCGGGCCUCUCACUAUCGGAUGAACCCAGAUGGGAUUAGCUAGUAGGCGGGGUAAUGGCCCACCUAGGCGACGAUCCCUAGCUGGUCUGAGAGGAUGACCAGCCACACUGGAACUGAGACACGGUCCAGACUCCUACGGGAGGCAGCAGUGGGGAAUAUUGCACAAUGGGCGCAAGCCUGAUGCAGCCAUGCCGCGUGUAUGAAGAAGGCCUUCGGGUUGUAAAGUACUUUCAGCGGGGAGGAAGGCGAUGCGGUUAAUAACCUUAUCGAUUGACGUUACCCGCAGAAGAAGCACCGGCUAACUCCGUGCCAGCAGCCGCGGUAAUACGGAGGGUGCAAGCGUUAAUCGGAAUUACUGGGCGUAAAGCGCACGCAGGCGGUCUGUUAAGUCAGAUGUGAAAUCCCCGGGCUUAACCUGGGAACUGCAUUUGAAACUGGCAGGCUUGAGUCUUGUAGAGGGGGGUAGAAUUCCAGGUGUAGCGGUGAAAUGCGUAGAGAUCUGGAGGAAUACCGGUGGCGAA